GAUGAAGAACGCAGUGAAAUGCGAUACGUAAUGUGAAUUGCAGAAUUCAGUGAAUCAUCGAAUCUUUGAACGCACAUUGCGCCCCUUGGUAUUCCGAGGGGCAUGCCUGUUCGAGCGUCAUUAUAACCCCUCAAGCUCAGCUUGGUGUUGGGGCCUGCUGCACUGGCAGCCCUUAAAAUCAGUGGCGGCGCCAUCUGGCUCUAAGCGUAGUAAUUCUUCUCGCUAUGGAGUCCUGGUGGAUGCUUGCCAUCAACCCCCAAUUUUUCUAUGGUUGACCUCGGAUCAGGUAGGGAUACCCGCUGAACUUAAGCAUAUCAAUAAGCGGAGA
rnacentral:misc_RNA from 1 species